UACGUAGGGGGCAAGCGUUAUCCGGAUUUACUGGGUGUAAAGGGAGCGCAGACGGCAGUACAAGUCUGAUGUGAAAGCCCGGGGCUCAACCCCGGAACUGCAUUGGAAACUGUAGCUCGAGUGUCGGAGGGGUAAGCGGAAUUCCUAGUGUAGCGGUGAAAUGCGUAGACAUUAGGAGGAACACCGGUGGCGAAGGCGGCUUACUGGACGACUACUGACGUUGAGGCUCGAAGGCGUGGGGAGCAAACAG
rnacentral:rRNA from 1 species